AAAGCGGCUCGCUGGGCCUGUUCUGACGCUGAGACGCGAAAGCGUAGGGAGCAAACAGGAUUAGAUACCCUGGUAGUCUACGCCGUAAACGAUGCGCACUAGGUACGAGAGGUUCUGACGCCGAUCGUGCCGAAGCAAAAGUGGUAAGUGCGCCGCCUGGGGAGUACGGCCGCAAGGCUAAAACUCAAAGGAAUUGACGGGGGCUCACACAAGCGGUGGAGCAUGUGGAUUAAUUCGAAGCAACGCGAAGAACCUUACCUGGGCUUGACAUGCACGGAUGCUCUUCCCGAAAGGGGAGUAGGCUGCCUUCGGGUGAAACGUGCACAGGUGCUGCAUGGCUGUCGUCAGCUCGUGCUGUGAAGUGUCGGGUUAAGUCCCUUAACGAGCGAAACCCCUGUCGCUAGUUACCAGCGGUUCGGCCGGGGACUCUAGCGAGACUGCCGGCGUUAAGCCGGAGGAAGGUGGGGAUGACGUCAAGUCCUCAUGGCCUUUAUGUCCAGGGUGUCACACGUGCUACAAUGGACGCUACAAAGCGAAGCGAGACCGCGAGGUGGAGCCAAUCGCAUAAAAGCGUCCUCAGUUCGGAUUGGAGUCUGCAACUCGACUCCAUGAAGUUGGAAUCGCUAGUAAUCGCGUAUCAGCCACGACGCGGUGAAUGUGUUCCUGAGCCUUGUACACACCGCCCGUCAAGUCAUGGGAGCUGGGAGCACGCGAAGUCCGCUUAGCUAACCGAAAGGAGGCGGCGGCCGACCGUGAGCUCGGUGACUGGGACUAAGUCGUAACAAGGUAACCGUA
rnacentral:rRNA from 1 species